rnacentral:rRNA from 1 species
UGGGGAAUAUUGGGCAAUGGGCGCAAGCCUGACCCAGCAACGCCGCGUGAGGGAAGAAGGCUUUCGGGUUGUAAACCUCUGUCCUUGGUGACGAAAAAAAUGACGGUAGCCAAGGAGGAAGCCCCGGCUAACUACGUGCCAGCAGCCGCGGUAAUACGUAGGGGGCGAGCGUUGUCCGGAAUUACUGGGCGUAAAGGGUGCGUAGGUGGCCUUUUAAGUUGGAUGUGAAAUACCCGGGCUUAACCUGGGGGGUGCAUCUAAUACUGGGAGGCUAGAGUGCAGGAGAGGAAAGCGGAAUUCCUAGUGUAGCGGUGAAAUGCGUAGAUAUUAGGAGGAACACCAGUGGCGAAGGCGGCUUUCUGGACUGUAACUGACACUGAGGCACGAAAGCGUGGGGAGCAAACAGG